rnacentral:lncRNA from 1 species
CCCUAAAUAUUCAGUAAAUUCAUUAACUGGUAAAAAUCACAUUUUAAAUACUUUCAUUUGCAGUUUACAAAUCAGUGAAUGGAUUUUUUCUGAACAUUUGUUGAACUGGAACAAUGCUAAAGAGAAAGUGCAGGUGGAUUUACCCACACUGGAAACUGAAUCCAAAUGAGCCUUUUGCUGGCAUCCAAUGUGCGAGAACUGCAAAAAAGAAACAAGUGCUAAGAAGAAAAAGUAUCUGCAGUGGUGAUUCAACAAGACAUCUGAAAGGAAAGGAGGAAACACAGAAGUAAAAGAAAGGGAACCAUGCCUACAGACUGAGAUGGAAGAGAAAGCACUGCCUCCUCUGUGUUACAUAUAUGUGUGAUGGAUACAUUUGAAGCUGUAUUUGUCCCUGCAUGAAGACUGCGUGUGUCACACAAAAAAUGAAGAAACCUUCCCUUGGAUCCACUCCUUCUUACUUCGACCUCGGCCUUUUCUGGUGUGAUUAUGUUGUAAUUACUUCAUGGAGCUUCAGCUUAAUGUGUUUCCAGAGUUUAAUGCAGUAGGAAACAUGUCACUUCAACUAACGUAAUCAAAUAUUACCUAUGAACAGCAAUCAUGAUAUCUCCUUGCUCUUUCCCAUUUUUGACAUGCUUACUUCAUCAAGCUGCUAGUCUGAACAAUUUUCACAAAUCUCCCAAUUUAUCUAGUUAUAACAGUGUGAUUAGGAUAGACAAGUGAUCUGAGACCAUGUAAUCACUGUAAUGAUGCCAUGUUGGAUGACUUCAAGCCUCCACCUCGGUCUCAGAGGUUGACAUUGUCUCCUCAGUUUUUUCGAUCAUCUGUUCCAUAGUUCCCUAUCUGAAUCUAUCAGGGGGGACGAGCAUCCAUUAUUUGACAAAGUCUGUUCUGAAAUAUAAUGCUAAUCAAUUAAAGUCAGUGAUCCAGCUUCAUGUUUAACAUACAUUGGUGAUAUCCUCCUAAACAGGGGUAGGUAGUUCACAAAACCUAGUAUUCUGAGAUACUUUAUAUACUUUUUCUCUUCUGUCCAUUUAAGAAAAAUAAUAACAAGAUGCAGUUCAUUUGAGACUGAGGACAGAAGUUUUGGUUUCAAACUUAAGUAGAGUACCAUCUCAUUCCCCUCCAGUUUAAAUCUUUUGAGAAUAUAGGCUGAGACACAAGUUUUCACUAACCCCUGU